CACAAUUUUAUGUUAGGAAAAACUGUAUGUAGUCACUGUUUUAUGUAAGAAUUUUUUUUUCUAUACUGUUGUAUCGUUCUGUAACGUUUAAAUCAACAGCAGAUGAACACGGAAAUAAUAAUAUAAAUUCCUUAAGCUUGUUACCGAUUGUCCGUGUUUAAAGCAACGAGAAACUGGAAACCAGUAAGAAGAAGAGACA
rnacentral:lncRNA from 1 species